AACGACUCUCGGCAACGGAUAUCUCGGCUCUCGCAUCGAUGAAGAACGUAGCGAAAUGCGAUACUUGGUGUGAAUUGCAGAAUCCCGUGAACCAUCGAGUUUUUGAACGCAAGUUGCGCCCCAAGCCUUCGGGCCGAGGGCACGCCUGCCUGGGCGUCACGC
rnacentral:rRNA from 3 species